rnacentral:misc_RNA from 1 species
CCUCCUUGGUCCCUUUCUGAAAUAAUCGAGCUUCUGAAGUAUAAUCUGGUGCAAUAUAACAGUGCUCCAUCUUCAGGUCUUCAACCUUUUCCCAUGUAAAUCUAGCCAUAUGAUGAGGAUAUUUAAGUGAAAGAAGUUGCUUCAGAUAAUCAGUUACAUGGAAUCCACCAAUGUUAGUUCGACAGCAUCCUUUAUAAACAGGUUCUCCAUCAAUAAAUGGAAUAACAUGAGUUGUUGUAAAUCCUGGGCAAAUUGCCAGCCCAUCUUUAUCACAAAUGGCAUGCCGUUGAUUAUACUUAUAGCUGAAUGCCGCAUCCACACCAAAUGCUACUGAUGGAACUCCAUAAGUUUCAAAAAGAAGCUCUGCCAUUUUACAGCGUGAUUGAACUGGGUUGCAUACGCAUUCUGUGAUCAGGAUAGGAUGAUCAAUCUGUGAUCCAUUUGCUCCCAGCCGAUCAAAUCCAAAGUCAAGAAUAUAUUCCAUUAUCUCGAAUUGAUAAACAACAUUACUAUCAAAUGCGGAACGAGGCCCCGAGCGAGUACAGUCAAAGUAUUUCAACAAUGCAGGAUCAUGGUCACCAACAAUAGUCACAGUUUCCCCAGUGGCUUUGUGGCGGGGUCGCUGAACAAUGUUGCGAAAAAUAACUCUAGGAUCAGUUUCUCCAGCCCAUCCGAUGCGGAAAUAGGAUGCACCAUUGUCGAUGACGAUAGGAGUAGUCGAAGAGAAGUAAUUGUAAUCAGAUUGUCUAUGAAAUUGAGAAAUGAAAGGCAUUUGCUCCCUCUGUCAGGUCUUCUUCUCUCACGCAAUGGUGAAAAGAAUUAGAGAGUUUUUUUUUG